rnacentral:rRNA from 1 species
UACGGAGGAUCCAAGCGUUAUCCGGAAUCAUUGGGUUUAAAGGGUCCGUAGGCGGUUUGGUAAGUCAGUGGUGAAAGCCCAUCGCUUAACGAUGGAACGGCCAUUGAUACUGCCAGACUUGAAUUACUGGGAAGUAACUAGAAUAUGUAGUGUAGCGGUGAAAUGCUUAGAUAUUACAUGGAAUACCAAUUGCGAAGGCAGGUUACUACCGGGUGGAUUGACGCUGAGACGCGAAAGCGUGGGGAGCGAACAGG